GGCCGGAACCCGAGUGAGGGCGGUGCUCUCCUUUAGGGUCAGAAACCGGGAAGGUGAGCGCGGUUCCCGGGAAACCCGGUGGCGGCGGCCUGUCGCUGCGCCCAAUGGCGAAGGCAGGCUGAGUCAUAGGAGGCGUUUACUGAGAGGCCAGCCCACCAGGAAGGCAGCGGCUUCCCAGCACCCAGUCCUGCCUCCCGCCCAGCAAGGUGCGGGUCAGGACUACCAAGGGGACGGGGCUGCGGUGAGGCUGGGAACCGCGCGCAGCUACAUGCAGCUCUGGAUCCCCACACCUCAGCUGCUGUCCGUCACCCGCGAUGAGCCGAUGUUGAUGAGACGCUGUUGAUGCGACGAUGUUUUGACUCGUGGUGCUGAACUGGCCAAUUUGCACUUAUUACUUAAUUUUAUCUUCAUAACAACCCAAAGAGGUAGGUAUUACCAUCUUGUUUUAUGGAGGAAAUUCCUGUAGGUUACUUGCUCAAAGUCACACAGUUGAAGCUGGUUGUAGCUGAUUCAAGAGGACGAAUGUAAUCACUAUGCCAGCAACUUUCAAACUUAAAUCUGACCAAGACCCACAGUAAGAGAUGUACAGGGUAUCUCCAAAAAUACAGCUCAUAGCUCAAUUUUGAAAAUGAAACAUAUUUUAAUAAACACUUUUAUAAUUA